rnacentral:rRNA from 1 species
CCCUCGCCUUUAGUUGCCAGCAUGUUGGGGUGGGCACUCUAAAGGAACUGCCGGUGACAAGCCGGAGGAAGGUGGGGAUGACGUCAAGUCCUCAUGGCCCUUAUGUCCUGGGCUACACACGUGCUACAAUGGCGGUGACAGUGGGAGGCUAGGUCGCGAGGCCGUGCUGAUCUCUAAAAGCCGUCUCAGUUCAGAUUGCACUCUGCAACUCGGGUGCAUGAAGGUGGAAUCGCUAGUAAUCGCGGAUCAGCAUGCCGCGGUGAAUACGUUCCCGGGCCUUGCACACACCGCCCGU